rnacentral:rRNA from 1 species
UACGUAGGGGGCAAGCGUUGUCCGGAUUUAUUGGGCGUAAAGCGCGUGUAGGCGGCCAUGUAGGUCUGACGUGAAAUUCCGAGGCUCAACCUCGGCAGGUCGUUGGAAACCAUAUGGCUAGAGUCCGGAAGAGGAGAGUGGAAUUCCUGGUGUAGCGGUGAAAUGCGCAGAUAUCAGGAAGAACACCAAUGGCGAAGGCAGCUCUCUGGGGACGGUAC